rnacentral:rRNA from 1 species
AAAGAUUAAGCCAUGCAUGUCUAAGUAUAAACGAUUUAAUCGUGAAACCGCGAAUGGCUCAUUAUAACAGCUAUAAUUUACUUGAUCUUGACACAAUCCUACUUGGAUAACUGUGGUAAUUCUAGAGCUAAUACAUGCAUUAAAGCUCUGACCUCACGGGAAGAGUGCAUUUAUUAGAACAAAACCAAGCGGCUUCGGCUGUUUCUGGUUGACUCAUAGUAACUGAGCUGAUCGCAUGGUCUUGCACCGGCGACGUGUCUUUCAAGUAUCUGCCGUAUCAACUUUCGAUGGUAGUGUAUCUGACUACCAUGGUGAUCACGCGUAACGGAGAAUAAGGGUUCGGCUCCGGAGAGUUCGCCUGAGAAAUCGCGAACACAUCUAAGGAAGGCAGCAGGCGCGAAAAUUACCCACUCUCAGCACGAGGAGGUAGUGACGAAAAAUAACGAGACCGUUCUCUUAUGAGGCCGGUCAUCGGAAUGGGUACAAUUUAAA